GGAGGUAUAGCUCAAUGGUAGAGCUCAUGUUUAGCAUGCACAGAGUCCUGGAUUCGAUACCCCAUACCCCCA
rnacentral:tRNA from 1 species